rnacentral:rRNA from 1 species
AUACAGAGGGUGCGAGCGUUAAUCGGAAUUACUGGGCGUAAAGCGCGCGUAGGCGGCUUAUUAAGUCAGAUGUGAAAUCCCCGGGCUCAACCUGGGAACUGCAUCUGAUACUGGUAAGCUAGAGUUUUGGAGAGGGAAGUAGAAUUUCAGGUGUAGCGGUGAAAUGCAUAGAGAUCUGAAGGAAUACCAGUGGCGAAGGCGACUUCCUGGCCAAAAACUGACGCUGAGGUGCGAAAGCGUGGGUAGUAAACGGGAUUAGAAACCCUAGUAGUCCC